rnacentral:lncRNA from 1 species
CCCUGCCCCAUCUUUAUAAUGAAGCAGAUAGAACACAGUUCAAAGACGUCUAAAACCAGGCUCCACUACCACACCACACAUCAGGCGAUACACACAGGUAAAGUCCUGAACGGCGGCCAGACCAUACAAAGCACUACCACAAAUUGAAAACAAAGGACAAGUCUGCAAGGAAAUAACGCUAUUUAUUACAGCCAAGAUCAC